rnacentral:rRNA from 1 species
AAGAUAUAACAACGCAUUUCAUUGUGAUUGAGUGAGGGUAUUCCAACCGAACCACUAGUACGAUUAGAGGGCAGUCUGGUGCCAGCAGCCGCGGUAAUUCCAGCUCUAAUAGCGUAUAUUAAAGUUGCUGCAGUUAUAAGCUCGUAGUUGGAUUUCAGGACAGCUUUACCUCUUUGAUGCAUUCUUCCUACUAGUCUUCGGACUGUUACUGUGAGAAAAUUAGAGUGUUAAAGCAGGCUCUUGCAGAAUACAUUACAUGAAUAACGAUGUGUUUAAAACUUGGUAAUCAAUACACAGAGGGGGGGGGGGGCCAGAUAAUGCAAGGGAAUUCUUGAUUGCACAUCUCUAUCUUUUUCUAAGAUUGCAGGAUGUUUCUUAUCAGACCAACCCACCGAUCAAACAUCGAUACUGCGAUCCUACCAUAACUAUGCCACUAGGAUGAUGGAUUACAUUUCGACUUAUGAAAUCAAGCCUUGGUUCUGGGGAAUAUGUCCCACACUGAACUU